UACGAAGGGUGCAAGCGUUAAUCGGAAUUACUGGGCGUAAAGCGUGCGUAGGCGGUUGGCUAAGUCAGAUGUGAAAGCCCUGGGCUCAACCUGGGAACGGCAUUUGAAACUGGCGAGCUAGAGUGUGAUAGAGGAUGGCGGAAUUCCCGGUGUAGCGGUGAAAUGCGUAGAGAUCGGGAGGAACAUCCGUGGCGAAGGCGGCCAUCUGGAUCAACACUGACGCUGAGGCACGAAAGCGUGGGGAGCAAACAGG
rnacentral:rRNA from 1 species